CAGUCAGUCCGGCCCUGGAUAUGCAUCAUUGUUCUUUCGUCUGAGAUUGUGUUGUUGUCAGCUUCCUCGGUAAGUCACAAGUCCUGGUCUCCUCAUUCAUGGCAAGGUCUGAAACAGGAGCAAAAUGAAACACGUAAGAAACACGUAGGAACAAAUCCUGCAUACCAGAAUCAUUUGAGUGCAAUAUAGUUCCUUAAGAACAAAACAGACUACACCGACUUGUUGAAUAGCCACUGUUCAUCGACACCCAGCCGGUGAUCUACUGCGCACAGCCGACGUUCGCUAUGGUCUUGUCCAAUGUGAAUUAAUAGUAGUGCUAUGGGCUGUGGACAUACACCUUGUACCCCUGCACAUCAACUCGGUACUCCCUAUAUAUAACUAUGUCAUUUUUACUCUUUAUUUUUAUUUGUUAUUCACUCUGUAUUUAUUCCUCAAGUCACUAUUUUUAUUACAUUUUUUAUCUUAUCUGGAUUAUUGGAAAUGAAUCGUAAGCAUUUCACUGUUAGUCUACACCUUUUGUCUAUGAAACAUGUGACAAAUACAUUUUUAUUUGAUUUUAUAACUUAAGUCCAUAUUUGUAGCAUUAUCAGAGUUGUUGUUUUCUAUAUUGGGGAAUCCCACACAAUCAGGAAUGAAGCUAGUGAUGGGCUAGGAGCAAGGGUAUGGCUCAUCAGCUUGUCACAGAGACUCAGCUAAAGUCUGUGAGCUCAUGUUCAUCCUGUUUCCACACAAUGCAACAAAAUCUAAUCUGCUGGUGCAGCUCCACUACAGAAUGUAAUCCAGAUGAAAGUGUGGCAUCCUCAAAAGAGCUCACUCACAGGACACGACUGUUGCUAUGGUUUCAACCCUUUCUCUCGCUCUGGGGGUGGUGUGAUGCACCAAGUUGUUCCUUUCCCUGUAUCCUGUUCCACGGAGCCCUUCUCAACAGCUACGCAGCUCUCAGACAGGAAGGUGACAACCUGGAAGACAGGAUCACUGUGUCAACAUUAUGGCUCUCAUCAACCAAUUAAUAUGGAGAUCACAUUGUGUGUGUGUGUGUGUGUGUGUGUGUGUGUGUGUGUGUGUGUGUGUGUGUGUGUGUGUGUGUGUGUGUGUGUGUGUGUGUGUGUGUGUGUGUGUGUGUGUGUGUGUGUGUGUGUGUGUGCGUGCGUGCGUGUGCGUGCGUGCAUGUGCGUUUGUGAACAUAUCACUGCCUCAAGUUUUACAAAAGGAAACUUCUAUGUGAACUAUCCCUUGGAAAAUGGCUGUAGAUUCUCAUACAAGACCUUGCAUCAAAAGUGUAAGUGA
rnacentral:lncRNA from 13 species